UGCCUCUGUUUUUAUGAUGUUGCAUUAUUCUAGGUGCAUUUGUGGGUGUGAAUGGAUUAAAAGUCAUCUAUGUGGAGCAGGCAUUUGUGGGGUGCACGUAGAAUAAUUUUAACUGGUGGUUUAGGCGUAGAGAUAAAUAUUAAUGAUAUUCUAUAGUAUAUAUUUGAUCAAAAUUAAAAGCAUUACAAUUAUUUUGGACUGAGGGAGUAUGGCUAGCUGGAAGCUUUGGGU
rnacentral:lncRNA from 1 species